AAGCCUGAUGCAGCCAUGCCGCGUGUAUGAAGAAGGCCUUCGGGUUGUAAAGUACUUUCAGUUGUGAGGAAGGGGGURKYGUUAAUAGCGCUAUCUCUUGACGUUAGCAACAGAAGAAGCACCGGCUAACUCCGUGCCAGCAGCCGCGGUAAUACGGAGGGUGCGAGCGUUAAUCGGAAUUACUGGGCGUAAAGCGCAUGCAGGUGGUUCAUUAAGUCAGAUGUGAAAGCCCGGGGCUCAACCUCGGAACUGCAUUUGAAACUGGUGAACUAGAGUACUGUAGAGGGGGGUAGAAUUUCAGGUGUAGCGGUGAAAUGCGUAGAGAUCUGAAGGAAUACCAGUGGCGAAGGCGGCCCCCUGGACAGAUACUGACACUCAGAUGCGAAAGCGUGGGGAGCAAACAGGAUUAGAUACCCUGGUAGUCCACGCCGUAAACGAUGUCUACUUGGAGGUUGUGGCCUUGAGCCGUGGCUUUCGGAGCUAACGCGUUAAGUAGACCGCCUGGGGAGUACGGUCGCAAGAUUAAAACUCA
rnacentral:rRNA from 1 species